rnacentral:rRNA from 1 species
AUGGCCUCCUCCUCCUCCUCCUCCUCCUACAUGCCCCUCAGGAGGUCCGACAGCGUCGCCGACAUGAUGCCCGAGGCGCUGCGCCAGAGCCGCUACCAGAUGAAGAGGUGCUUCCAGAGGUACGUCUCCAAGGGCAGGAGGCUGAUGAAGAACCAGCAGCUGAUGGAGGAGCUGGAGGCGUCGGCGGGCGACGACAAGCCCGAGAAGGCCAGGCUCGCCGAGGGCUUCCUCGGCUACGUCAUCUGCUCCACGCAGGAGGCCGUCGUGCUCCCUCCCCUCGUCGCCUUCGCCGUCCGGACCAACCCCGGCGUCUGGGAGUUCAUCAGGGUGCACUCCGGGGACCUCUCCGUCGAGGAGAUCACGCCAUCCGCUUACCUCAAGUGCAAGGAGACCCUCUACGACGAAAAAUGGGCGCGCGAUGAUAACUCGCUGGAGGUCGAUUUCGGCGCGCUGGACCUCUCCACGCCUCACCUGACGCUGCCGUCGUCCAUCGGGAAUGGGAUGCAGUUCGUCUCCCGGUUCAUGUCCUCGAAGCUAAGCGGCAAGCCGGAGAGCAUGAAGCCGCUGCUGGACUACCUGCUCGCGCUGAACUACCGUGGCGAAAAACUGAUGAUCAGCGACACCCUAGACACCGCCGACAAGCUUCAAACAGCAUUGCUUCUCGCAGAGGUCUUUAUCUCCAGCCUAGAGAAGAGCACACCGUACCAGCAGUUUGAACAAAGGUUUCAGGAGUGGGGUUUGGAGAAGGGGUGGGGUGACACUGCCGAAACAUGCAGAGAAACACUCAACUUCCUCUCCGAAGUGCUCCAGGCGCCGGAUCCCAUCAACAUGGAGAAGUUCUUCAGCAGGGUGCCGUCGGUGUUCAACAUCGUCAUCUUCUCCAUCCAUGGUUACUUUGGUCAAGAGAAGGUCCUUGGGUUGCCAGACACCGGUGGUCAGGUAGUUUACAUCCUGGACCAAGUUAGAGCUCUUGAACAGGAAUUGUUGCAAAGAAUCAGGAAGCAGGGCCUGAACGUUACCCCGAGGAUUCUUGUGUUAACAAGACUCAUACCGGACGCAAAGGGCACCAAGUGCAACGUUGAGCUUGAACCGGUCGAGCACACGAAACACUCGAGCAUCCUCCGCGUGCCAUUCAAAACUGACGAUGGGAAAGAUCUUCGUCAGUGGGUCUCCCGGUUUGACAUUUAUCCUUACCUGGAGAGAUAUGCUCAGGAUUCUUCUGUCAAGAUUCUUGACAUUCUGGAGGGGAAGCCAGACAUGGUCAUCGGCAAUUACACCGAUGGCAAUCUAGUAGCAUCCCUCUUGUCGAGCAAGCUAGGAGUUACCCAGGGAACGAUCGCACAUGCUCUUGAGAAGACAAAGUACGAGGAUUCGGAUGUCAAGUGGAGAGAAAUGGAUCACAAGUACCAUUUCUCCUGCCAAUUUACUGCCGACAUGAUUGCCAUGAACACUAGCGACUUCAUCAUCGCUAGCACCUACCAAGAAAUAGCAGGAAGCAAAGACAAACCAGGCCAGUAUGAGAGCCACUACGCCUUCACAAUGCCAGGGCUGUGUCGCUACGCCACAGGCGUCAACGUCUUUGACCCCAAGUUCAACAUCGCCGCCCCAGGCGCUGAUCAAUCUGUUUACUUCCCCUUCACGCAAAAGCAGGCACGGCUGACAGACCUGCACCCCCAAAUCGAGGAGCUACUCUACAGCAAGGAGGACAAUGAUGAGCACUUAGGGUACCUACAAGACAGAAGCAGGCCAAUCAUUUUCUCUAUGGCAAGGCUUGACAAGGUGAAGAACAUUACCGGGCUGGUCGAGUGGUAUGGUGAGAACAAGAAGCUCAGGGACCUUGUCAACCUGGUCAUCGUUGGGGGGCUCCUGGAACCUUCACAGUCAAAUGACAGAGAAGAGAUCGAGGAGAUCAACAAGAUGCACAGCUUGAUGGACAAGUACCAGCUCAAGGGACAGAUCCGCUGGAUCAAAGCACAGACCGAGCGCGUGCGCAACGGUGAGCUGUACCGUUGCAUUGCAGACACCAGGGGCGCCUUCGUUCAGCCUGCACUCUACGAGGCAUUUGGACUGACGGUCAUCGAGGCGAUGAACUGUGGGCUGCCAACCUUUGCAACAAAUCAAGGAGGACCCGCAGAAAUCAUCGUCAAUGAGGUUUCGGGUUUCCACAUCAACCCACUCAACGGCAAGGAGGCAAGCGACAAGAUAGCAGCCUUCUUUCAGAAAUGCAAGGAGGACCCCACCUACUGGAACAAGAUGUCCACUGCUGGACUCCAGCGCAUCUAUGAGUGUUACACGUGGCAGAUUUACGCAACUAAAGUUCUGAACAUGGGGUCGAUGUACGGCUUCUGGAGGACUCUGAACAAGGAAGAGAGGCAGGCCAAACAGCUCUACCUACAGAUGUUCUACAACCUUCAGUUCAGGCAGCUGGUGAAGACUGUCCCGAAGGUGGGCGAACAACCCGCACAGCCUACGACGGGAAGCACGGCGCCCGCUAGGAUUGCGCCGAGGCCAAGAGAAAGAAGGCCACGGACGAGGAUUCAGAGGAUAGCGACCAACUUAUUCGGCCCAGUGCUCCCACCCUCCAACUUCUCCCAGGAUGCAGCCUGA